rnacentral:rRNA from 1 species
UUUGUGAACUUAUACCUAUUGUUGCCUCGGCGUCAGGCCGGCCUCUUCACUGAGGCCCCCCGGAGACGGGGAGCAGCCCGCCGGCGGCCAACUAAACUCUUGUUUCUAUAGUGAAUCUCUGAGUAAAAAACAUAAAUGAAUCAAAACUUUCAACAACGGAUCUCUUGGUUCUGGCAUCGAUGAAGAACGCAGCGAAAUGCGAUAAGUAAUGUGAAUUGCAGAAUUCAGUGAAUCAUCGAAUCUUUGAACGCACAUUGCGCCCCCUGGUAUUCCGGGGGGCAUGCCUGUUCGAGCGUCAUUUCAACCCUCAAGCCUGGGCUUGGUGAUGGGGCACUGCUUCGAAAGGAGCAGGCCCUGAAAUUCAGUGGCGAGCUCGCCAGGACCCCGAGCGUAGUAGUUAUAUCUCGCUUUGGAAGGCCCUGGCGGUGCCCUGCGUUAAACCCCAACUUCUGAAAAUUUGNCCUC